UGACAAGUGCGCUUUGAAGACGUCCCAAAGUAGCAACUUCUCUUUCCCGAAACCUUCAGGACGUCAAUGCCACACCUCAUUAACCCACUUCAAGCAACCGGCUUCGUCCAACCAGCAGCAUUCUUGAACAUAAACAACACCACCCUGCGGGAAUUUUCUGAGCAAUCUUUGUUUUUUGACUCAACACAAGAUCACGUCUAUUCAUAAAUCAGCAGGUACUGGUUCACAAAAUUUCCAGGUUCUGGAUCCAGCAAAGCUGAGUACCGGCAUGUGAGAUCUUGUGACCUUUUCUGGUUAAAUCAAAAACCUCUACAAAAGGGGUCGGCUUAUACAAAGGGAAAGCACCAAUGCCAACCCUUGUUGUGUAGGCCUUCACCACUCCGUACACUUCCCCAACAUUCUGAGGAGGGAUUCCCAGCCCUGUGCACACACCACCCACUGUGCAGUUCGAUGAUGUCACAAAAGGCUAUAGAACCUGGGCCUCUGUACCUCCCUCUGCAAAUGGAACUUCAACUGCCUAGCCAGAAGACCGCAACUGUGCAGAUUGGAAAUAACAUCUCCACCUCGCAGACAAGCAACACUUGUACACCACAGGGAUGUGUGCUUAGCCCACUGCGUUAUUCUUUCUAUACCCAUGACUGUAUGGUUAGGCAUAUCUCAAACCAUAUCUAGAACUUUGCUGAUGGUAUAACCAUUGUUGGCAGAAUUUCAGAUGGUGAUGAGAGGACAUACAGGAGCAAGAUAUACCAGUUAGUUGAGUGGUGUCACAGCAACAACAUUGCACUCACUGUCAGCAAGAUUGAAAAGCUGAUUGUGGACUUCAGGAAGGGCAAGACAAGGGAACACAAAUCAAUCCUCAUAGAGGGAUCAGAAGUGGAGCAAGUGAGCAAUUUAAAGUUCCUGGGAGUCAAUAUCUCUAAGGACUGAACCUGGACACAAGCUAUAUUUCAUUAGGAGUUCAAAGAGAUUUUGUUUGUUCAAUAAAUCACUUGAAACCUUCUGCAAAUGUACUGUUGAGAGGAUCCUGACUGGCUGCAUCACCAUCUGGUAUGGGUGGGGGGGGGGGGGGGCCUACUGCACAAGAUCAGAAUAAGUUGCAGAAAUUUUCCAGCUCUAUUACGGGUACCAGCCUCCAAGGAGCGGUGUCUUAGGAAGGUGGCGUCCAUCAUUAAGGAUCCCCAACAACCAGGACAUGCCCUCUUCACAGGGUUACCAUCAGGAAAUGAGGUACAGAACCUUGAAGGCACAUACUCAACGAUUCAGGAACAGCUUCUUCCUCUCUGCCAUCCAAUUUCUAAAUGGACAAUGAACCCAUGAACACCACCUUACUGCAUUUUUGUUAUUUUGCACCACUUUUUUUUAAACUUAAGUAUUUAAUAGACAUAUAUAUACUCAACAUAACUCCGUUUUUUCCUCUAUAUUUCUCAUGUAUUACAUUGUACUGCUGCUGCAAAGUUAACAAAUGUCACAACAUAUGUCAGUAAUAUUAAAUCUGAUUGUGAUAUUUUUUGUACAGACUAAAUUUAUCUUUCAAAGCCUCAACCCAGAGGGCAAGUUCCCUGCUAACCCAAAAUGAACAAAGGUGUCACAGUUCAUUUCCUGAACAAUGAAAACAACAUUCCGCUCAUAUUUCUGCAGCUAAGCUGGAUUCCAGCAACUGAGCAACUUAGAUGGGAAACAAAAACAAUAAAUUCUGGAAAUAAAUAAGACAGGGUGGCCAAUCUUUUACAUUCCAUGCGUCACUCUUUUUACGCACGAUUUCAGAUACACCAUACAACUCCUGUACCCCCAUUCAAUUCUUGUAAAAAUGUUAUAGACAUAUUUAGCAUUCUUACAUACUAUAUUGAUUUAAUAUAAAAACAAGAUCAACAUUACUUAGAAACACAAAAUGCUGGCAGA